rnacentral:rRNA from 1 species
UACAGAGGUCCCAAGCGUUGUUCGGAUUCACUGGGCGUAAAGGGUGCGUAGGCGGUCGGGUAAGUCUGAUGUGAAAUCUCCAAGCCUAACUUGGAAACUGCAUUGGAUACUAUCCGGCUCGAGGAAUGGAGGGGAGACUGGAAUACUUGGUGUAGCAGUGAAAUGCGUAGAUAUCAAGUGGAACACCAGUGGCGAAGGCGAGUCUCUGGACAUUUCCUGACGCUGAGGCACGAAAGCCAGGGAAGCAAACGGG